UACAGAGGUCCCGAGCGUUGUUCGGAUUCAUUGGGCGUAAAGGGUGCGUAGGCGGCGGGGCAAGUCUGAUGUGAAAUCCCGGGGCUCAACCCCGGAACUGCAUUGGAUACUGCCUUGCACGAGUACUGGAGAGGGAACUGGAAUUUACGGUGUAGCAGUGAAAUGCGUAGAGAUCGUAAGGAAGGCCAGUGGCGAAGGCGAGUUCCUGGACAGUUACUGACGCUGAGGCACGAAGGCCAGGGGAGCAAACGGG
rnacentral:rRNA from 1 species